rnacentral:rRNA from 1 species
UACGAAGGGGGCUAGCGUUGUUCGGAAUUACUGGGCGUAAAGCGUGCGCAGGCGGCCUUCCAAGUCAGGGGUGAAAGCCCAGAGUUCAACUCUGGAAUUGCCUUUGAGACUGUGAGGCUUGAGUACGGGAGAGGUGAGUGGAAUUCCCAGUGUAGAGGUGAAAUUCGUAGAUAUUGGGAAGAACACCGGUGGCGAAGGCGGCUCACUGGCCCGAAACUGACGCUCAUGCACGAAAGCGUGGGGAUCAAACAGG